rnacentral:tRNA from 1 species
GGAGAGGUGCCAGAGCGGUUGAAUGGGCAGCACUGGAAAUGCUGUGUAGCCGAAAGGCUACCGCGGGUUCGAAUCCCGCCCUCUCCG